rnacentral:rRNA from 1 species
AUUGGCGGCAUCUAUACAUGCAGUAGAACGCUGAGAGAGGAGCUUGCUCUUCUUGGAUGAGUUGCGAACGGGUGAGUAACGCGUAGGUAACCUGCCUUGUAGCGGGGGAUAACUAUUGGAAACGAUAGCUAAUACCGCAUAACAAUGGAUGACACAUGUCAUUUAUUUGAAAGGGGCAAUUGCUCCACUACAAGAUGGACCUGCGUUGUAUUAGCUAGUAGGUGAGGUAAUGGCUCACCUAGGCGACGAUACAUAGCCGACCUGAGAGGGUGAUCGGCCACACUGGGACUGAGACACGGCCCAGACUCCUACGGGAGGCAGCAGUAGGGAAUCUUCGGCAAUGGGGGCAACCCUGACCGAGCAACGCCGCGUGAGUGAAGAAGGUUUUCGGAUCGUAAAGCUCUGUUGUAAGUCAAGAACGGGUGUGAGAGUGGAAAGUUCACACUGUGACGGUAGCUUACCAGAAAGGGACGGCUAACUACGUGCCAGCAGCCGCGGUAAUACGUAGGUCCCGAGCGUUGUCCGGAUUUAUUGGGCGUAAAGCGAGCGCAGGCGGUUUGAUAAGUCUGAAGUUAAAGGCUGUGGCUCAACCAUAGUUCGCUUUGGAAACUGUCAAACUUGAGUGCAGAAGGGGAGAGUGGAAUUCCAUGUGUAGCGGUGAAAUGCGUAGAUAUAUGGAGGAACACCGGUGGCGAAAGCGGCUCUCUGGUCUGUAACUGACGCUGAGGCUCGAAAGCGUGGGGAGCGAACAGGAUUAGAUACCCUGGUAGUCCACGCCGUAAACGAUGAGUGCUAGGUGUUGGAUCCUUUCCGGGAUUCAGUGCCGCAGCUAACGCAUUAAGCACUCCGCCUGGGGAGUACGACCGCAAGGUUGAAACUCAAAGGAAUUGACGGGGGCCCGCACAAGCGGUGGAGCAUGUGGUUUAAUUCGAAGCAACGCGAGAACCUUACCAGGUCUUGACAUCCCGAUGCUAUUUCUAGAGAUAGAAAGUUACUUCGGUACAUCGGUGACAGGUGGUGCAUGGCUGUCGUCAGCUCGUGUCGUGAGAUGUGGGUUUAAGUUCCCGGCAACCGAGCGCAACCCCUAUUGAUAGUUGCCAUUCAUCAGCUGGGCCACCUCUUAGCGAGACUGUCCGGCUAAAUAAAAC